rnacentral:RNase_P_RNA from 1 species
CCAGAGGAUCGGGCGGCCGCGGGUGCGCAAGCACGCGAGGAAAGUCCGGGCUCCACGGAAACACGGUGCCGGGUAAUGCCCGGCGGGGGCGACCCCAGGGAAAGUGCCACAGAGAGCAGACCGCUAAGUCCUUCGGGACCAGCAAGGGUGAAAGGGUGCGGCAAGAGCGCACCGCGCGACCGGUAACGGAAGCGGCAUGGUAAACCCCACCGGGAGCAAGACCGAAUAGGGGCGGCAUAUGGGCCUGGUUCCGGCCCGUCGCCCGGGUUGGUUGCUGGAGCGGCGGAGCAAUCCGUCGCCUAGAGGAAUGGUCGCACAUCGCCGAAAGGCGAGGACAGAACCCGGCUUAUAGAUCCUCUGGCAUC